rnacentral:piRNA from 1 species
UACUUUAGAAACGAGUUGAAGAGAUGAC